rnacentral:rRNA from 1 species
AUACGGGGGGUGCAAGCGUUAAUCGGAAUUACUGGGCGUAAAGCGCGCGUAGGCGGUUUGCUCAGUCGGAUGUGAAAGCCCAGGGCUCAACCUUGGAACUGCAUACGAUACUGGCAAACUAGAGUGUGAGAGAGGAUAGUGGAAUUUCCGGUGUAGCGGUGAAAUGCGUAGAUAUCGGGAGGAACAUCAGUGGCGAAGGCGACUGUCUGGCUCAACACUGACGCUGAGGUGCGAAAGCGUGGGUAGCAAACAGGAUUAGAUACCCUAGUAGUCC